rnacentral:rRNA from 1 species
GACGAACGCUGGCGGCGUGCUUAACACAUGCAAGUCGAACGGAAAGGCCCUGCUUUUGUGGGGUGCUCGAGUGGCGAACGGGUGAGUAACACGUGAGUAACGUGCCCCUGACUGUGGGAUAACCUCAGGAAACUGGGGGUAAUACCGGAUAGGAGCUCUUGCUGCAUGGUGGGGGUUGGUAAGUUUCGGCGGUUGGGGAUGGACUCGCGGCCUAUCGGCUUGUUGGUUUGGUAGUGGCUUACCAAGGCUUUGCCGCGUAGCAGGGCUGGGAGGAUGACCGGCCCAGUUAGGACGGAAAUGCGGCACGGCCUAGAACGGGACGCAGGGGAGGAGAGUGGAACAUUGUAGAAGGGGCGAUGGUGCGACAACGCAGCGUGGCGGAUGACAGCAUGCGCGUUGUGAAGCAAUGUCGCCUGAGACGGGACGUGAGUGACGGUAAUGGGUAAAGAAGCACCGGCUAACUACGUG